rnacentral:lncRNA from 1 species
GAGGGGAAAAAAAGAGCCCUUUGUUUCAAUAUCCAGCAAAAUAGUAUAUUCAGUCUAGUCACUAAUCUGACUACCUUAACAGCUAGAUAAAACAGGAAGUCAGGACCAUUGAUUCUGUUUGUUAAUCCACUAGUUCCUACACUUUUUCUUCAUUACUUACUGCAUUAGUGAAGAGCCUAUAUCAGAAAUAAGAAACAUGACUCCCAAAUGGACAUAUUUAUAAACAUGUUUCUAUAUGCAAUUUUUAAUCUUCUUUCUUAUAAUUAACAGCCUAUUAUAGUUGAACCUGGCAAAAUAUUUUAAUUUGGCUGUCAAUAGAUAGUUCAAUAAACUUGAAUUUUUUUGAUAUUUAAAACAUAACCUUGUGUUAUCAUGCCUGCCUCCUGCUAUUUUAAAUGUACAGUAUGUUCUACUGCAGGAAUUACCAUGGUUACUUGUUAUUCCAAUAGUGAACUGCAGUGAGCAUUAGAAAGUAUUGUGCUGUCUUACCUCUGCAUUGGAAAUGACAUUGACAUCUCAGUAAUCACAAUAAUAUGAAUUAACAUGGGACCCUGGAGAAAUGUGACUAUGAGACCAAUUGGCC